ACUAUAUAUAGUAUACUAUGUAUUAUGCUAUAAUGCUCUAUGCAUCUGUAAAAGAUAAAAUGGUACACUAUCUCACAUAAAAUAAUUAAAUGUGUUUCCUCAGUGAGGUAUAAAAGGGAGGCUGUCAAUAAUUUUCAGUUUUGCAGAAUUAAUCCUGGCUACUUUUCACACACACAUACACAGGUGACUAAUGAUAUCACUGACAUUAUCAUGAGGGAUGUCAUGUCAAUUUUAAAAUGUUUGUUAAGGAGAAUUUAUCUAUUUUUACCUCUUAUUGUUUAGCUAAGAUUAAUUUCUAGUUAAAAUUAGAUUCUUUUAAGCAGCAGCUUUUAUCUUUCCUAGAAUGUCUGAAAUUAGUUUCUCAAAUUUCUGAGGGAAAAAAUGGUAUAGCUCUGUUAUUCAAAGUUUAUGCUUCUCUUAUGAAAUUGUUGCUUGUUACGAUCACUUUGAAGCAAAGAUAUCUUUUCAUAUGUCCUUGUAAUUUUGAUACUUUUUGAUCUGGUUGUAAUUUAUUUUCAAAGUAUACCCUAAUUUCUCUAUAGUGGAUUUUGGAUUUCUCCUCAGUGUAUGUACACUCUUUUCUCUUCUUGGUAAAACCAUACUCUUGGCCUUGGCAAAUAUAGUAAGCACUCUCAAUGUGUGACUACAUUUGUUUGAUUUCUUUUAUUUAUUUUCUUGACAUGUUAUAAUUAAUGUUUUUGAAUAUAUUUUAAACAAAAUUCCACUUGGAUUACCCAGACAUAAUGCUUAAGUUCAUGAAGAAAUAUUCUCUUUAGGGUUGUUUCUGAUCUUCAUUUCAUCUUUCCCCUCCUUUGACCAGAAUUUCCAAUACUAAGACCCUCUCACCUAGGACCUAGCCUGGAUUCACCUGCCCCCUUGUGGUAUUCCUCUCUGAAUAGUUAAUUGAUUUUUGAAAUUUGAAUUUGGUAUUACAUAGCCUGAGAAAAUAAACCUCUUUACUCUUGUGUAACAGUCUAAGAUCAGAAAAGUUUUCUUCUGGUAGUCACUGACUAGCAAAAAACUAUGAAAGAAGUUUCUUAUUUAAUUUAGAGCAGAAGAAGAAAAUUGAGCACUCUAAAGAAAUUACUAGCUUGGAAUGAAUGAUGAUCUAGAAUCAAUAUUAGUGGAAUGAAUGAUGAUCUAGAAUCAAUAUUAGAUUGAUAAACUAAAGAGAUGUUUUCAAGAUACUCAUAAAGCCACUUAAAGUCAAAUUUUUUCUAUGUCAAGUUCUCCUUUUUAGUGAGUGGAAGAAGAAAGGAAAAUGUUGCUCUAUUUUAUUUAAAUUUUAAAUAGAUUUCCUAAACCUCUCAUAAAGGAUGAAUUAGUAAACAUAAAAAAAAUAUUGUACUGUAUGGUCAGAUAUUUUGGUACAAUUGACAAAAAUAGGGUUUUAUUUCUCUCUCUGAAAAAAGGAAUUCCUUCAUGAGCCACAGGACUAAUUUUUACAUCUUGAAUUGAAGCCAAUAUUGAAGCCACAUGGGAUAGUGAUGAUAUAUUCAGUGAGUGAAUUACCUAGACAGAAAUUCAGACAUUUUGCAAGAAUAAGGAUGUAAGAAUUAGUCAUCUGGUUAUUAAAGAAUAAUUGCAGAUAACAGAAAGGGAAAGAGGAAAGAAAAGCACUAUUUACAUUUUUGAAAAUUGUCUUUCUGGGGUUCCCCUUGUGGCUCAGUGGUUAACAAAUCUGACUAGGAACCAUGAGGUUGUGGGUUUGAUCCCUGGCCUUGCUCAGUGGGUUAAGGAUCCGGCAUUGCCUUAGGUUGCAGACACAGCUUGGAUCCCACAUUGUUGUGGCUCUGGCGCAGGCCAGCAGCUACAGCUCCAAUUAGACCCCUAGCCUGGGAACCUCCACAUGCGGCGGGAGUGGACCCAGAAAAGGAAAAAAGAAAAAUUGUCUUUCUUAGAAGGAAGAAAUGAAUUCAUAAAUUAUUGUUAGUAAGACCCCAAGUAAUUUUUAAAGAUAUUUUUUUCUGUCUGUUAACUGUAAAUGCAGAAAGAGUUUUCUCUUUCUAUGCUGUUCCACCUCCUACCCCUACUCUCCACCAAAGACUGGUUUGAUUCAAUAAUUUGAUCAUUUUAAACAUUAUGUCACCUCACUGGAGAUCUAGAAGAAGAAAAGUAUGCAGGCUUUAAUGAAAUUUUAGUCCAGCUUCCAAAUUUGUAGUGUCCAGCAUUCCUUUGCCACUUCUUACAUUUGUAACAGUUUACCUAUAAACAGGUUCCCAGAAAGCCAGGUUCAAAUUUUGGCAGACUUACCUCACCUCUUUGUCCUUCCAAAGUACAUAAAUGCUAACCUGUAUUCACAGUGAGGAAGGGAGAGUCAUUCCUGUGAGACUUUUAAAACCAAGACCCUUUCUGCUCCCUACCAAGUUACUGCCAUUCUCUCCAAAGGAAUAAAGUUUUGUCAGUGUGCCUUGGCAUAAUUUCUUCAGCCUGGAUUAAACACAGGUGACUGAGAGUCUACCUUAUCUCCACAGGGCAUUAGUCACUCUAUAAAAGUUAAAUUUAUUAUGAAAUGCUUUGUUUGUGUUAACAUAUAUCUUCUCUGGAAGUUGGAAACAAAGGCAUGUCCUUUAAGACUCCAUAUGGGGAAAACACAUCCUCCUUUGGAAUUUAACCUUAAUUUGAACCAAGAUCUGUGAAAGAAAAGCACUUUAGUGUAUUGUUCCCUUGCUCCACCCCUCUUUCCCUUAUCUAAAUGGGGUUACUGUUGCUUCGUGUUUUUUAACUCUUCCCAUUCCAAACCUUGCUUUCCUGAGUUUAAAAUAACCUUAGAAGUAUAUUAAAAUAAUUGUGGCAAACAGUUAGGCUGUGUUUUUAAGCAUAAGUGGUUUUAUGUAACCUAUUAAUUCUCAUAUCUUUAAAAUCAAAUAAAUAGAACACCAGUUUAUACUUACGUAUCUUGUUGUUCAUAACAUUGUUUUAACAAAUGGUACAUUGUAAAGAACAUUUUAUUUCCUGAAAAUCUUCUCUAAGAUGCACUUGCUAGCAAACAUUGUCAUGUAUGGCAUAGCUUAUACUGAUUCAGCAGUAAAGAAUAAUUAGAAGAAAAGUUUACAUUAAGAAGGAUGAGGAGGUAUAUUUGAAAGACUAAUUUUUACCUGUUUUUCUUCAGUCAGUUUGCAUAGUCCUUUUUUUUUUUUUUUUUAUCUUUUGUCUUUUGUCUUUUUAGGGCCGCACCAGAGGCAAAAGAAGGUUCGAAGGCUAGGGGUCUAAUCAGAGCUGUUGCUGCAGGUCUACACCACAGCCACAACAACACCAGAUCUGAGUCGCAUCUGUGGCCUACACCACAGCUCACGGCAACGCCAGAUCCUUAACCCACUGAGCAAGGCCAGGGAUCGAACCUGAAACCUCAUGGUUCCUAGUCGGAUUUGUUUCCACUGCGCCAUGACAGGAACUCUUAGUUUGCAUAAUCUUGCAGUGCCUUCAGUGUAUCUAAAUCCAUAGAUGUUCCAGUGCUUUUUUUUUUUAAGCAAAAGCAAAGCUUCCAUGGCUGCUGCUCCCCUCAUAACAGAUCAGUUGUUUAUAAGCAGCAAAGAGAGUUAUUUCCAAUUUUUUUUUCACUUUUAAAAAUUCUGCUUAUGUGAAUAUUUAGUUUCUUUAAUAGCAUCUGCCAACAAAUUUGUAAUUAUCCAAAUGAUUUUCCUUCAUUAUCUUUUAUUACAUUAAGAAAAAAUAAAAAACUAAAUAUGAAUAUAAGCUUAGAUAUUCAUUUAUUCUUAAAAAAUAUAAACAUGAUUUUAAAUUGAUAUGUAUCCAAUUCUACUCAAAAUAAGUGUCUUCAGCAUUAUUAAAUUGAAAAUUUCUAAGCAAAAUAAGAAAUUCACACCAAGACAUUUACAGAUAGUCAUAUAUUCCUUAUCACAUAGUAUAUUUCAUUUAAACUAUAAUGUUGAAAUUAGUUUGAUUAAUAUGUUCUUUAAAAUAUGGAACAUAUGCCUAGUACAUUUAGGGCAGUAGGACAUUUAUCAUAAGUAAUAUCAAAUCAGGAGUUCCCGUCGUGGUGCAGUGGUUAACAAAUCCGACUAGGAACCAUGAGGUUGUGGGUUCGGUCUCUGCCCUUGUUCAGUGCAUUGACGAUCUGGCGUUGCCGUGAGCUGUGGUGUAGGUCGCAGACGCGGCUCGGAUCCCAUGUUGCUGUGGCUCUGAUGUAGGCUGGCAGCUACAGCUCCGAUUCGACCCCUAUCCUGGGAAACCUCCAUAUGCCACGGGAGCGGCCCAAGAAAUGGCAAAAAGACAAAAAAAAAAAAAAAAGUAAUAUCAAAUCAGGGUAUCACUGUUCUCAUCAGCCCUGCCUACAUUUAUUGGUUCCACCCCAAACAACCCUCAUAUGACAUUCACUGAAGCGUAGUCUCCACUACUUGUUAGCACUUGAUUGUAUACUGCCAUUGCUAUUUAAAUUCAUAAUAUGUAAUACUUUUUCAUGGGAAUAAUAACUCAGAACAAUAAUAGGUUGACAAUUGGAAUAUUUUAUCACAAGUCCUCAAUUCUCUUGGACUUUGCACUGCAUUAGACACUGAUUGAGACACACUUUCUUAAAAGACAACAGUCCUAUACCUCUGUUGCUCCAGAUUUUUCCAAGUAUGAUUUUGGAUGACUAUCUUCAUGGUAUAUAGAGAUGCCUGUAUAUCAUUUAUUCAUGGUCCUACUAUAAGGUAGUCAUAGGAAAAUCUUUCACAGGAGUAAAAUGGUCGAAAUGAUAGAUGAACAAGAUAAUGGGAGACAAGGUAAUAGUUAAGUAUAAGACUGAAAAGGCAGGGAAUUUCCAUCGUGGUUCAGGGGGAGACAACUCUUACUAGUAUCCAUGGUGACACAGGUUCGCUCUCUGGCCUUGCUCAGUGGGUUAAGGAUCCGGCAUUGCUGUGAACUGUGGUGUUGGUUGCAGAUGCAACUCAGAUCUGGCUUUGCUGUGGCUGUGGUGUAGGCCCGCAGCUACAGCUGCAAUUAAACCCCUAGCCUGGGAA
rnacentral:lncRNA from 1 species